CUUYUACUCCUACCGGAGGCAGCAGUAGGGAAUAUUCCACAAUGAGCGAAAGCUUGAUGGAGCGACACAGCGUGCACGAUGAAGGUCUUCGGAUUGUAAAGUGCUGUUAUAAGGGAAGAACAUUUGCAAUAGGAAAUGAUUGCAGACUGACGGUACCUUGUCAGAAAGCGAUGGCUAACUAUGUGCCAGCAGCCGCGGUAAUACAUAGGUCGCAAGCGUUAUCCGGAAUUAUUGGGCGUAAAGCGUUCGUAGGCUGUUUGUUAAGUCUGGAGUUAAAUCCCGGGGCUCAACCCCGGCUCGCUUUGGAUACUAGCAAACUAGAGUUAGAUAGAGGUAAGCGGAAUUCCAUGUGAAGCGGUGAAAUGCGUAGAUAUAUGGAAGAACACCAAAGGCGAAGGCAGCUUACUGGGUCUAUACUGACGCUGAGGGACGAAAGCGUGGGGAGCAAACAGGAUUAGAUACCCUGGUAGUCCACGCCGUAAACGAUGAUCAUUAGUCGGUGGAGAAUCACUGACGCAGCUAACGCAUUAAAUGAUCCGCCUGAGUAGUAUGCUCGCAAGAGUGAAACUUAAAGGAAUUGACGGGGACCCGCACAAGCGGUGGAGCAUGUGGUUUAAUUUGAAGAUACACGGAAAACCUUACCCACUCUUGACAUCCUUCGCAAAGCUAUAGAGAUAUAGUGGAGGUUAACAG
rnacentral:rRNA from 1 species